rnacentral:rRNA from 1 species
UACGGAGGGUGCAAGCGUUAAUCGGAAUUACUGGGCGUAAAGGGUGUGUAGGUGGUGAGAUAAGUCAUUUGUAGAAGCCCUGGGCUCAACCUGGGAAUGUCGAGUGAUACUGUUUGACUAGAGUACGGGAGAGGGUAGUGGAAUUUCCGGUGUAGCGGUGAAAUGCGUAGAUAUCGGAAGGAACACCAGUGGCGAAGGCGGCUACCUGGCCUGAUACUGACACUGAGGCACGAAAGCGUGGGGAGCAAACAGG